UGCAGUCGAGCGAAUGGAUUAAGAGCUUGCUCUUAUGAAGUUAGCGGCGGACGGGUGAGUAACACGUGGGUGACCUGCCCAUAAGACUGGGAUAACUCCGGGAAACCGGGGCUAAUACCGGAUAACAUUUUGAACCGCAUGGUUCGAAAUUGAAAGGCGGCUUCGGCUGUCACUUAUGGAUGGACCCGCGUCGCAUUAGCUAGGUGGAGAGGUAACGGCUCACCAAGGCGACGAUGCGUAGCCAACCUGAGAGGGUGAUCGGCCACACUGGGACUGAGACACGGCCCAGACUCCUACGGGAGGCAGCAGUAGGGAAUCUUCCGCAAUGGACGACAGUCUGACGGAGCAACGCCGCGUGAGUGAUGAAGGCUUUCGGGUCGUAGAACUCUGUUGUUAGGGAAGAACAAGUGCUAGUUGAAUAAGCUGGCACCUUGACGGUACCUAACCAGAAAGCCACGGCUAACUACGUGCCAGCAGCCGCGGUAAUACGUAUGUGGCAUGCGUUAUCCGGAAUUAUUGGGCGUAAAGCGCGCGCAGGUGGUUUCUUAAGUCUGAUGUGAAAGCCCACGGCUCAUCCGUGGAGGGUCAUUGGAAACUGGGAGACUUGAGUGCAGAUAGGAAGUGGAAUUCCAUGUGUAGCGUUAAAUGCGUACAGAUAUGGAGGAACACCAGUCGCGACGCGACUUUCUGGUCUGUACUGACACUGGAGGCGCGAAAGCCGUAGGGAGCAAACAGGAUUAGAUCCUCUGGUAGUUCACGCCGUAAACGAUGAGUGCUAGGGAUCGAGGUUUCCGCCCUUCAGGGCU
rnacentral:rRNA from 1 species